GGAUAUAGCUCAGUUGGUAGAGUACUUGCCUCACAUGCAUGAGGCCCUGGGUUCAAUCCCCAGUACCA
rnacentral:tRNA from 1 species